rnacentral:rRNA from 1 species
UACGUAGGGUGCGAGCGUUGUCCGGAAUUAUUGGGCGUAAAGAGCUUGUAGGCGGUUUGUCGCGUCUGCCGUGAAAAUCCGGGGCUCAACCUCGGACUUGCGGUGGGUACGGGCAGACUAGAGUGCGGUAGGGGAGAUUGGAAUUCCUGGUGUAGCGGUGGAAUGCGCAGAUAUCAGGAGGAACACCGAUGGCGAAGGCAGAUCUCUGGGCCGUAACUGACGCUGAGGAGCGAAAGCGUGGGGAGCGAACAGG